GGAAGUAAAAGUCGUAACAAGAUUUCCGUAGGUGAACCUGCGGAAGGAUCAUUCAUAAUAAAGUGUUUUAUGGCACUUUUUAAAAAUCUAUAUCCACCUUGUGUGCAAUGUUAGAUCUCGUCAAUCUUGGCGAGAUUUUCAUACAUCAACUCAUUCUUUAACUAAUUUGUCUGAAAAGUAUUAUGAAUACUUAAUUCAAAAUACAACUUUCAACAACGGAUCUCUUGGCUCUC
rnacentral:misc_RNA from 1 species